rnacentral:siRNA from 1 species
UCGUUAAUCGUUGGCGGUUCAC